AUACGUAGGGGGCGAGCGUUGUCCGGAAUGAUUCGGCGUAAAGGGCGCGUAGGCGGCGCGGUAAGUCUGGAGUGAAAGUCCUGCUUUCAAGGUGGGAAUUGCUUUGGAUACUGCCGCGCUUGAGUGCAGGAGAGGUUAUCGGAAUUCCCGGUGUAGCGGUGAAAUGCGUAGAGAUCGGGAGGAACACCAGUGGCGAAGGCGGGUAACUGGACUGCAACUGACGCUGAGGCGCGAAAGUGUGGGGAGCAAACAGGAUUAGAUACCCUGGUAGUCCACACUGUAAACGAUGAAUGCUAGGUGUAAGAGGUAUCGACCCCUUUUGUGCCGGAGUCAACACAAUAAGCAUUCCGCCUGGGGAGUACGGCCGCAAGGUUGAAACUCAAAGGAAUUGACGGGG
rnacentral:rRNA from 1 species